rnacentral:rRNA from 1 species
CGUCGAGCUACUACGGUAGUGAAGUCAUUGAUGCCAUGCUUCCAGGAAAAGCCUCUAAGCUUCAGAUUGUAAGGAAUCGUACCCCAAACCGACACAGGUGGUCGGGUAGAGAAUACCAAGGCGCUUGAGAGAACUCGGGUGAAGGAACUAGGCAAAAUGGUACCGUAACUUCGGGAGAAGGUACGCUCUUGAUGGUGAAGUCCCUUGCGGAUGGAGCUGACGAGAGUCGCAGAUACCAGGUGGCUGCAACUGUUUAUUAAAAACACAGCACUGUGCAAAAUCGUAAGAUGACGUAUACGGUGUGACGCCUGCCCGGUGCCGGAAGGUUAAUUGAUGGGGUUAGCGCAAGCGAAGCUCUUGAUCGAAGCCCCGGUAAACGGCGGCCGUAACUAUAACGGUCCUAAGGUAGCGAAAUUCCUUGUCGGGUAAGUUCCGACCUGCACGAAUGGCGUAAUGAUGGCCACGCUGUCUCCACCCGAGACUCAGUGAAAUUGAAAUCGCUGUGAAGAUGCAGUGUACCCGCGGCUAGACGGAAAGACCCCGUGAACCUUUACUACAGCUUGGCACUGAACAUUGAACCUACAUGUGUAGGAUAGGUGGGAGGCUUUGAAGACGUGACGCCAGUUGCGUUGGAGCCGUCCUUGAAAUACCACCCUUGUAUGUUUGAUGUUCUAACGUUGGCCCCUAAUCGGGGUUGCGGACAGUGCCUGGUGGGUAGUUUGACUGGGGCGGUCUCCUCCCAAAGAGUAACGGAGGAGCACGAAGGUGGGCUAAUCACGGUUGGACAUCGUGAGGUUAGUGCAAUGGCAUAAGCCCGCUUAACUGCGAGAAUGACGGUUCGAGCAGGUGCGAAAGCAGGUCAUAGUGAUCCGGUGGUUCUGAAUGGAAGGGCCAUCGCUCAACGGAUAAAAGGUACUCCGGGGAUAACAGGCUGAUACCGCCCAAGAGUUCAUAUCGACGGCGGUGUUUGGCACCUCGAUGUCGGCUCAUCACAUCCUGGGGCUGAAGUCGGUCCCAAGGGUAUGGCUGUUCGCCAUUUAAAGUGGUACGCGAGCUGGGUUUAGAACGUCGUGAGACAGUUCGGUCCCUAUCUGCCGUGGGCGUUGGAAGAUUGAAGGGGGCUGCUCCUAGUACGAGAGGACCGGAGUGGACGAACCUCUGGUGUUCGGGUUGUGUCGCCAGACGCAUUGCCCGGUAGCUAAGUUCGGAAUCGAUAACCGCUGAAAGCAUCUAAGCGGGAAGCGAGCCCUGAGAUGAGUCUU